UACGAAGGUCCCAAGCGUUGUUCGGAAUCACUGGGCGUAAAGGGAGCGUAGGCGGCGUGGUAAGUCAGAUGUGAAAUCCCGGGGCUCAACCCCGGAACUGCAUCCGAUACUGCCAUGCUAGAGGAUUGGAGAGGUAGCUGGAAUUCUUGGUGUAGCAGUGAAAUGCGUAGAUAUCGAGAGGAACACUAAGGGCGAAGGCAAGACUCUGGACAAGUGCUGACGCUCAUGCACGAAGGCUAGGGUAGCGAACGGG
rnacentral:rRNA from 1 species